rnacentral:lncRNA from 1 species
ACGGACCCUCUGGAUGGCCCGAGCAGACACUACAGUCUUCACCAGAGGCAGCCCCAUAAAAAUGUCAUCGUCUCGGGCUCUCCCCGCAUUACAACACAAUGAUUUCUUUGGGGAGGAGAAAAAAAAAACUAAGAUUUAUUUUGCAACCACACCUCCGCCUCCCUUGGAAGAGAAAUACUGACCAACAACAAGUUGUGAAUGAAAUGUCUGCAGAUCGGCCCUCCUCGCCCAGCCUGAGAACUUUCCAGACGGAAAGGCGCACACGUGCACACAGCACCAGCUGAGCCGAUUUGUGCUGCUCUCAGCAGCCACCGGGGAUGGAGGAACCGCUCAAGGAUCUCCAGAGUGCGAGCCUGGUUCGGGGCAAAGUUGCCCAACCUAGUGGUGUGAGCCACGUAAGGAGCUGGGGAGAGGGGAGUCUGUCCCCAAGACAAUGACAGCAUCUAGGGCUCAGUGCCAGGCUCCCGGGAGAAGCAAACAAGCCAUGGCUUUAGGGAGGGGUGCAGGCUCAUUAGAGAGCCCACUGAAGUGUUACCACCAUGCAGAGAGGAGGGGUGAGAGGGCACGGCUCUCCUCUGCCAGUUUUUUUCUCUUGGGACGGGGAAGCAGCGCUGCUUGGAAAAUAGCAAACUCAAACCUUCCCCCCAAAUGCCAGAAAUGUUCCCGGGAGUCCAGGCCACAAGGACAGUGUGUGCAAUGGCUUGGACCAGGCCAGAGCUGUUCUCCCUCCCCUUAAACUAUGCAUAAAAAGAAGGUUCCCCCACAUGCUCCUCCUGGGAUCUUUCUGGGGUUAUCCCACAUGAACCUGCUUAGGUUGCCUUUGAGGAAACAGAGAAGUGAAGAUCCCCCAACCACUCCCCAUUUUGGAAAAGUGGACAUCAAAGCCCAGAGAAGGGACAGGACCAGCCCAAUGACCAACAGAGUCACCAGUGACUCUGGGGCUAUGUCUAGGACUCUGUCUCCAGUCUACUGUUCAUUCCCAAGGACAAGCCCACAACACAGUAGCAGCACCUGCAGAUGGAAAGCCUUCGAUCUCAAUGUCACCUGUUUGCCACUUUCUGCAUAAAUAAUGUCAUUGUUGGAAUGAGUUUAUGAUGGUCUCCAUCCCCAUCUCUAUGAGCUGUGAGCAAGACAUCUGCUGCAUAGCUCGUGUGUGUUCAGGCCUCCCUGGACCAGCAGCUCCGACUCACACAUGCACAGAACGAUAACGCAGAUGGGAGCAUGCGCCUGGAAGGCCACCCUGCCGCACAGCACACUGACUGAGCAAGAACAAAGACCGUAAAUGAAGAAGGAUGUUUGCACUCUGCUCCUCGCUUGCCUGAAAACAGGAAACUUUGGAGACCUGUUCUGGCAAGGUUUCCACCUCUUCCUCACCCCAACGGGAACUGUGUGUGUUCUGAUGGUUCAAUGGGGAAAUGAGGAUCGAUCAUGAGUGAUUUUCCCGAAAUGCAACCUGUGCAGGUCUUGCCUUCCUCAAGCACCUGUGAGGAGAAGUCGUCACUAGCGGGGAAUUCCAGCAGGUGACCCAAUCGAGACAGCUGGGCAGGCUCCUGGAGCUGAUGGCUUGGGAAGGAGGGAGUCAGAAGUGGCAGGCCCACGGAGGGCCUUCAACUCAUUGGAUGAAGCCCACCCUUAUUCCCAAGGAUAAUCUCCUUUACUCAAGGUCAACUGAUUGUUGAUGUUAAUGACAUCCACAAAAUGUCUUCACAGCAAUGGGAUUGCCUCACAGUAAUGGGAUUGCCUCACAGUAAUGGGAUUGCUGGGUCAAAUGGUAAUUAUCCUUAUGAUUUUCUUAAUACCAUUGUCUUUUCUCUACCUUACUUUAUUGUAGUAAUACAGUAUAUAGUACAUAU